AAGCUGGGGGUGCUGUUUGCAAUAACAGCUGAGAGGAAAUAGAUUCCAACCCUUUGAACUUGAUGUGGUUAGUACCAACGGAGGGAAGCAAACAA
rnacentral:ncRNA from 1 species